rnacentral:rRNA from 1 species
UACGUAGGGGGGCAAGCGUUGUCCGGAAUUAUUGGGCGUAAAGAGCGUGUAGGCGGCCAGAUAAGUCCGCUGUGAAAUCUCGAGGCUCAACUUCGAGCUGUCGGUGGAAACUAUCUGGCUAGAGUCCGGAAGAGGAGAAUGGAAUUCCUGGUGUAGCGGUGGAAUGCGCAGAUAUCAGGAGGAACACCGGUGGCGAAGGCGGGUCUCUGGGCAGUAACUGACGCUGGAGGAGCGAAAGCGUGGGGAGCGAACAGG